UGAGGAAUAUUGGUCAAUGGACGGAAGUCUGAACCAGCCAAGUAGCGUGCAGGAUGACGGCCCUAUGGGUUGUAAACUGCUUUUGUAUGGGGAUAAAGUUAGGGACGUGUCCCUAUUUGCAGGUACCAUAUGAAUAAGGACCGGCUAAUUCCGUGCCAGCAGCCGCGGUAAUACGGAAGGUUCAGGCGUUAUCCGGAUUUAUUGGGUUUAAAGGGAGCGUAGGCUGGAGAUUAAGUGUGUUGUGAAAUGUAGACGCUCAACGUCUGACUUGCAGCGCAUACUGGUUUCCUUGAGUACGCACAACGUUGGCGGAAUUCGUCGUGUAGCGGUGAAAUGCUUAGAUAUGACGAAGAACUCCGAUUGCGAAGGCAGCUGACGGGAGCGCAACUGACGCUUAAGCUCGAAGGUGCGGGUAUCAAACAGGAUUAGAUACCCUGGUAGUCCGCACAGUAAACGAUGGAUGCCCGCUGUUGGUACCUGGUAUCAGCGGCUAAGCGAAAGCAUUAAGCAUCCCACCUGGGGAGUACGCCGGCNACGGUG
rnacentral:rRNA from 1 species